GCGGGGGUGCCUGAGCGGUUAAAAGGGCAGGACUUAAGAGGUCAGUCGUUCGCUAGAACGAUUUAAAGUCAGGAUUUAAGAAAUCCUGUGGCUUAGUGCCUACGUAGGUUCGAAUCCUACCUCCCGCA
rnacentral:tRNA from 1 species